CGGAGGAGAAGUCCUGAUGCCCCGGUGAGGAGUUGUGAGAGGCUUGCGAUGGUCGGCGUACGGCGAGGCAGAGGGAGGCCUAAGAGGUACUGGGGAGAGGUGAUUAGGCAUAACAUGGCUAGAAUGCAGGUUUCCGAGGACAUGGCCCUUGAUAGGAAAGUCUGGAGGUCUAGUAUCAGGGUCGUUGGAUAGGGGCUCCUAGAGUUUUUCGUACUCCUCACCCGGGGUUGGGUGAGGCUUGGCAGGGCUAUCCAUAGAUGAUUUUUUUUUUAGUUUUUCGUACUCCUCACUGAGGGUUGGGUGAGGCUUGGCAGAGCUAUCCAUAGAUGAUUUGUGUCUUGGACUGUGUCUCUCUUAUGGUAGUUAUUUAUGGUAGUUACGGUC
rnacentral:lncRNA from 1 species